AUUGAACGCUGGCGGAAUGCUUUACACAUGCAAGUCGAACGGCAGCACGGGGCAACCUGGUGGCGAGUGGCGAACGGGUGAGUAAUACAUCGGAACGUGCCCAGUCGUGGGGGAUAACGUAGCGAAAGUUACGCUAAUACCGCAUACGAUCUAAGGAUGAAAGCGGGGGAUCGCAAGACCUCGCGCGAUUGGAGCGGCCGAUGUCAGAUUAGGUAGUUGGUGGGGUAAAGGCCCACCAAGCCGACGAUCUGUAGCUGGUCUGAGAGGACGACCAGCCACACUGGGACUGAGACACGGCCCAGACUCCUACGGGAGGCAGCAGUGGGGAAUUUUGGACAAUGGGCGCAAGCCUGAUCCAGCCAUUCCGCGUGCAGGAUGAAGGCCUUCGGGUUGUAAACUGCUUUUGUACGGAGCGAAAAGGCUCUCUCUAAUACAGGGGGCUCAUGACGGUACCGUAAGAAUAAGCACCGGCUAACUACGUGCCAGCAGCCGCCGUAAAAC
rnacentral:rRNA from 1 species